rnacentral:rRNA from 1 species
UGGGGAAUAUUGCACAAUGGGCGCAAGCCUGAUGCAGCUAUGCCGCGUGUAUGAAGAAGGCCUUCGGGUUGUAAAGUACUUUCAGUCGGGAGGAAGGUGGUAAGGUUAAUAACCUUGGCAAUUGACGUUACCGACAGAAGAAGCACCGGCUAACUCCGUGCCAGCAGCCGCGGUAAUACGGAGGGUGCAAGCGUUAAUCGGAAUUACUGGGCGUAAAGCGCACGCAGGCGGUUGAUUGAGUCAGAUGUGAAAUCCCCGGGCUUAACCCGGGAAUUGCAUCUGAUACUGGUCAGCUAGAGUCUUGUAGAGGGGGGUAGAAUUCCAUGUGUAGCGGUGAAAUGCGUAGAGAUGUGGAGGAAUACCGGUGGCGAAGGCGGCCCCCUGGACAAAGACUGACGCUCAGGUGCGAAAGCGUGGGGAGCAAACAGG